rnacentral:misc_RNA from 1 species
UGCAAGCAGCCCGACUUGAGCGGAGCUCUUUUUGUGAAGCAAAGCGUAACAAAAAAGCGGGAGCGGAAGGCGGAAAUAGCU